rnacentral:rRNA from 1 species
CAGUCGCCGCGGGAAUACGAAGGGGGCUAGCGUUGUUCGGAAUUACUGGGCGUAAAGCGCACGCAGGCGGCUCGAUAAAUUAGAAGUGAAAGCCUUGGGCUUAACCUGAGAAUUGCUUUUAAGACUGUCGAGCUAGAAUCCAGAAGAGGGUAGUGGAAUUCCGAGUGUAGAGGUGAAAUUCGUAGAUAUUCGGAAGAACACCAGUGGCGAAGGCGACUACCUGGUCUGGCAUUGACGCUCAUGUGCGAAAGCGUGGGGAGCAAACGGGAUUAGAUACCCCCGUAGUCCCUGUCUCUUAUAC